rnacentral:rRNA from 1 species
GGGAGGCAGCAGUGGGGAAUAUUGCGCAAUGGGCGAAAGCCUGACGCAGCCACGCCGCGUGAGUGAUGAAGGCCUUCGGGUCGUAAAGCUCUUUAAGGAGGGACGAAGUUCUGACGGUACCUCCAAAAAAAGCACCGGCUAACCCUGUGCCAGCAGCCGCGGUAAUACAGGGGGUGCAAGCGUUGCUCGGAAUUACUGGGCGUAAAGCGUGCGCAGGCGGCGCAUUAAGUCGGACGUGAAAGCCCGGGGCUCAACCCCGGAAAUGCGUUCGAAACUGGUGCGCUUGAGUGCGGGAGAGGGGAGCGGAAUUCCUGGUGUAGAGGUGAAAUUCGUAGAUAUCAGGAGGAACACCAGUGGCGAAAGCGGCUCCCUGGCCCGAUACUGACGCUCAUGCACGAAAGCGUGGGGAGCAAACAGGAUUAGAUACCCCGGUAGC